rnacentral:rRNA from 1 species
GGGGGCAAGUAGAGUGGCGCACGGGUGAGUAACACGUAGGUAAUCUACCUUUGGAUGGGGAAUAACAACCGGAAACGGUUGCUAAUACCGCAUAAUGCAGCGGCACCUAAUGGUGACAGUUGUUAAAGCGGGGGAUCGCAAGACCUCGCGUCUGAAGAGGAGCCUGCGGCGGAUUAGCUAGUUGGUAGGGUAACGGCCUACCAAGGCAACGAUCCGUAGCCGGCCUGAGAGGGCGGUCGGCCACACUGGCACUGACAUACGGGCCAGACUCCUACGGGAGGCAGCAGUCGGGAAUUUUGGGCAAUGGGCGAAAGCCUGACCCAGCAACGCCGCGUGAAGGAUGAAGUUUCUCGGAAUGUAAACUUCACAAGAAUGGGAAGAAUAAGUCUGGGCUAAUAUCCCUGACGAUGACGGUACCAUUUGUAAGCUCCGGCUAACUCCGUGCCAGCAGCCGCGGUAAUACGGGGGGAGCAAGCGUUGUUCGGAUUUACUGGGCGUAAAGGGCGCGUAGGCGGCGCAACAAGUCACUUGUGAAAUCUCCGGGCUUAACUCGGAGCGGCCAAGUGAUACUGUCGUGCUAGAGUGCGGAAGGGGCUACUGGAAUUCUCGGUGUAGCGGUGAAAUGCGUAGAUAUCGAGAGGAACACCUGCGGCGAAGGCGGGUAGCUGGGCCGACACUGACGCUGAGGCGCGAAAGCUA